rnacentral:ncRNA from 1 species
AUUCAGACGAUGAACAAGAGGAGUACGUGAGAAGCGAAGUUUAAGAGAGAAGAUGCAUGGCUGAGACAUCUUUACUUUGGCUCAUGGAAGGUAGCUUGGGAGUUUGCGAUCUGAAGCAAGUAAGAGCGCACGGCACAUGACCGUUAGAGCAUGUUUGAGCGGCAGAAGUCUUUUCUGCAAUUUAGGUGGUACCGCGUAAUUUACGUCCUAGAA